rnacentral:ncRNA from 1 species
UUCUGGUGCCGCCGGCCGCAUAGGCUGGUGGUGAAACGGGAAGCCGGUGCGCAGGGGAUCAAGACUCUGCAAACCCGGCACUGCCCCCGCAACGGUAAGUGAGUUGGAUCGGCUUUCGCCACUGCGAUUAAGGUCGCGGGAAGGCGCCGAUUUAUGAAGCCUGGCUUCACUCACGAGUCCGGAGACCGGCCAGUCAGCCU